CACCAACUUGAACCCUUGCCACUACCCACCUACCAUUAGAAAAUAAAAUCUAAAGUAUUAACACAAGUCAAGGUGCUGAAUCAAUUUGGAUCAAAAGAAAAAUAAAUUUCACCCAAUUAAAGUGUGGGACUGAAUUUUUCUAAAUCAUUGCCUAUGCCAAGCUCAAGGUCCAAUUUUGAAAGGCUAGAGAACCAAUGGUGGUGGAAGCCAAGAUCUUUGGUGUUGAUCUAUCAGCCAGCUAUAUUAAUGAAGAUGUGAACGGAUAGGUGCCAAAAUUUAAAUGUGCCAACCAAGGUUGCGGAUAUAGUUGGAAGUGAUGGUGUGCACAAAAGGGAUGGUAAGCUUAUGGAGGAAGAGAAGUUGGUGGUCAAAAAUGGCGAUAAGGUAUGUUUCUUCUGAAUUGGUGCAGCCCCCAAAGAGUGAUUUUGUAGAGUUCCACCUGAUUUGGACCAAGAAGUCUCUUUCUUUAUAAAGAAAUCAGAGAAACGGAAACCAAUCUGACCAAUAAAGGUUUCUGUUUCUCCACCAAACUUUGUGCCCCUAAUGGUGAUAAGGUAUGUUUCUUCUGAAUUGGUGCAGCCCCCAAAGAGUGAUUUUGUAGAGUUCCACCUGAUUUGGACCAAGAAGUCUCUUUCUUUAUAAAGAAAUCAGAGAAACGGAAACCAAUCUGACCAAUAAAGGUUUCUGUUUCUCCACCAAACUUUGUGCCCCU
rnacentral:misc_RNA from 1 species